rnacentral:rRNA from 1 species
UUAAAAAGCUCGUAGCUGAAUUUCGGGAUUGACGUGACGGUCGUGCCUUACGGGGUAUGAACUGUCGCCGUUGAUUUCUCACCUUCUGGAGAAGCUCGAUGUCCUUAAUUGGGUGUCUUGCGGAACCAGGACCUUUACCUUGAAAAAAUUAGAGUGUUUAAAGCAGGCAUUAUUGCUCGAAUACACUAGCAUGGAAUAAUAGAAUAGGACGGCAUGGUUCUAUUUUGUUGGUUUCUAGGAUCACCGUAAUGAUUAAUAGGGAUAGUUGGGGG